AUUGAACGCUGGCGGCAGGCCUAACACAUGCAAGUCGAGCGGAUGAAGGGAGCUUGCUCCUGGAUUCAGCGGCGGACGGGUGAGUAAUGCCUAGGAAUCUGCCUGGUAGUGGGGGAUAACGUCCGGAAACGGGCGCUAAUACCGCAUACGUCCUGAGGGAGAAAGUGGGGGAUCUUCGGACCUCACGCUAUCAGAUGAGCCUAGGUCGGAAUAGCUAGUUGGUGGGGUAAAGGCCUACCAAGGCGACGAUCCGUAACUGGUCUGAGAGGAUGAUCAGUCACACUGGAACUGAGACACGGUCCAGACUCCUACGGGAGGCAGCAGUGGGGAAUAUUGGACAAUGGGCGAAAGCCUGAUCCAGCCAUGCCGCGGGUGUGAAGAAGGUCUUCGGAUUGUAAAGCACUUUAAGUUGGGAGGAAGGGCAGUAAGUUAAUACCUUGCUGUUUUGACGUUACCAACAGAAUAAGCACCGGCUAACUUCGUG
rnacentral:rRNA from 1 species